UAGGAGAUAGCUCAUCUGGUAGAGCAACUGAUUCAAACUCAGUCGGUAGGGGGUUCAAUUCCCUCUCUCUUAA
rnacentral:tRNA from 1 species